CCUUCGGGAGGGGAUUAGUGGCGAACGGGUGAGUAACACGUGGGCAAUCUGCCCUGCACUCUGGGAUAACUCCGGGAAACCGGAGCUAAUACCGGAUAGGACCGCCUCGGGCAUCCGGGGUGGUGGAAAGCUCCGGCGGUGCAGGAUGAGCUCGCGGCCUAUCAGCUGGUUGGUGGGGUGAUGGCCUACCAAGGCGACGACGGGUAGCCGGCCUGAGAGGGCGACCGGCCACACUGGGACUGAGACACGGCCCAGACUCCUACGGGAGGCAGCAGUGGGGAAUAUUGCACAAUGGGCGCAAGCCUGAUGCAGCGACGCCGCGUGAGGGAUGACGGCCUUCGGGUUGUAAACCUCUUUCAGCAGGGAAGAAGCGGAAGUGACGGUACCUGCAGAAGAAGCACCGGCUAACUACGUGCCAGCAGCCGCGGUAAUACGUAGGGUGCGAGCGUUGUCCGGAAUUAUUGGGCGUAAAGAGCUCGUAGGCGGCUUGUCGCGUCGGAUGUGAAAGCCCGGGGCUUAACCCCGGGUCGGCAUUCGAUACGGGCAGGCUAGAGUUCGGUAGGGGAGAUCGGAAUUCCUGGUGUAGCGGUGAAAUGCGCAGAUAUCAGGAGGAACACCGGUGGCGAAGGCGGAUCUCUGGGCCGAUACUGACGCUGAGGAGCGAAAGCGUGGGGAGCGAACAGGAUUAGAUACCCUGGUAGUCCACGCCGUAAACGUUGGGCACUAGGUGUGGGCGGCAU
rnacentral:rRNA from 1 species